rnacentral:misc_RNA from 1 species
GAGGGUCGUCUGUUUGGCGGGAAGUGUUUGGUAUGGCUGCAUUUUCACCGAAUUUACGCUAUAAACCAAACGACAAUUCACGGUUUUGUCAAGGUUGGUAAAUNUUUAUGGCCUUGGCUAUCGAUCUGUCAGGAUUUCAGCGAUGGGAUUGAACUCAAAGACGGAAAAAAGAGGCGCUGAUGUUUCAUUAUUGGAUGAAGGGGACAACGAUGAAAGACCAAGUAAAAAACUAAAGCAGUUAGAUAACAAGGGGGGAUUAAAUGCAAUUAUUGCGGAGGAGUAUAAAACAUCAUCAGGACCUCCCUCUCCUGUUCCAUUCUUGUCUCCAGAUGGGCAUGUAACCAAACCAGCAGAGAUAUUUCGUACUGAUUUAAUAAGUGCUAUGAAGCUGCCGGACACACAGAUGCUUAAUCCAGAGAACUACAUGACNAUUGUAGAUCCUUGGCGACAAGAAUGGGAAAGAGGUGUCCAGGUUCCUGUACAUCCUGAGUGGCUCUCACAACCAUCCUUUACGGUGGUCGAUGCUCCAAAAAAGACUACUAAUUUUAAACUAUCUGGAAAAUUAUUAAACUCAGAAGAGAAACGGAAGGGAAAGGCACCUUGCAAUUAUGACCUAAAUAGAAUAGAUGCAGAAUGGCUGACAAACCUAAAUAAAUCCAGGCAAGCUAAAGGACGACUUGAACUUGAGGAAAGUGUUCUUGAGAAGGCCAUUUCGUAUUUAGAAGACAAGUGCUAUGAGAAUCUUGGUUAUGCAAUUGUAACACAAGAAGGACUAAGUAUAGAAUAUGAUGAGAGUGUUUGCUGUGAUGUCUGUCAGUCACCUGAUAGUGAAGAAGGCAAUGAGAUGGUGUUCUGUGAUUCCUGUGAUAUCUGUGUCCAUCAAGCAUGCUAUGGCAUACAACAUAUCCCAUCAGGCAGUUGGCUNUGUCAGCCAUGCAGUAGAGCAGUAACUAAGCCACCUUGUCAGCUUUGUACUAACCCUGGCGGUGCAAUGAAAAGAACUAAGAAAGGCAAGAACUGGGUUCAUGUCAGCUGUGCAUUAUGGGUACCUGAAGUAGGAUUUGGUUGUGUAGAGAGAAUGGAACCAAUUAUUAAACUAGAAAACAUCCCGGCAAGCAGGUGGAAUUUGGUGUGUUAUUUGUGCAGNGAGAAGGAAGGAGCGUGUAUUCAGUGCACGGUCAAGACAUGCAUGACAGCCUUUCACGUCACUUGUGGCUUCAAGAAUGGUCUUGAAAUGAAAACAAUUCUAGACGACACUGCAGUUGAUGGUGUUAGACACAUUUGUUACUGUGCUAAACAUGGACACAAGAACAAAUCACCUCCAAGAACACCAGAAAAGAUUAAACAAGACGCAGAAGAUGCGGAAAAUCAAAGACAAAAAAAGCUUAAGCAAAUGGAGACAGAGUUUUACAAGUACGUAGAUGUUGGCGAACUUGCUAAAGACCUUAAUAUGCCCAAGGAGUUAGCCUCAAGGAUACAUGCAUUCUGGACACUUAAGAGAAAGGCUCGAGACGACAUACCUUUACUGCCUCCAACCUUAGAGCAGCAAGAGAAGCUAUGUGGCAAACAGGGUGCUGCAAGCCGAACUCUACAAAUACAAAUAGAGGAACUUAUGAAGAUGCGAUGUGAUCUUGAAAGGUUGCGUAACUUGUGUUACAUGGUGAGCAAAAGAGAAAAACUUCGGCGGGAAUUAUUUCGCGUUCGUGAGCAAGUAUUCUGGAAGUCACGUGAUACCCUGACUGAAGAUCCCGUCGACGAUCAUGAUAUUCAGUGGAUCAGGGAGGCUUGUGGCAAGAACUUUUCAAGUGAUGGAAGUCUGCCACCAUCAUUGCCUUCUUUUGAAACCUCCUCGGAAUCUGUUUCUUCAUCGAGCGCGCCCNCGUGCAGCAGUGAAAAAACUGCAGCCGAGGAACUNCUUGUUGAGCACGAACCAAGUGACUGUUCCGAAGAUAACACGAAAGGAGGAUAUGAGUCGUCGGAUUCCGAAGACUCGCCUCGGAUCAAAACACGACGUCGAGUAAGGGGAGUCGGAAGGCCUCGUAAGCAAGUCGUGAAUCGCAUCCAGUCGGAUAACAGUGAUAAUCAACACGGUAGUAGUGUGAACAAAUCAAGUGGCGCUAAAGAUGGUUUGCAUUCAGANAUCAUAACGGAAGAGGACGAACAGAAUGGAGUGAUGGCUCCUCGAAGAUCUUUAAGGUUUUAUAAAGUCAGCAUGUCAUCAGAUGAAGAUCACUCUGACAUCAAGGAUGAGACUUGCGAGCAAAAGCGAGUAGAGAGUCUUAAUGCCAGCAGUAUAGGGCUGAACAAACCUCGAACACGAGGACAAACAACAUCUGAAUCGACAUCGGAUGAUACGGAAUUGGAAUCAGUACGAAGUGAUGAAACUAGUCCAAGCAGAAUUCUACGAAGCUGUAAAAAAGUCAGGCAAGAAUGUAAUCCUAAAGACACAUCAAACNCUUCUGGGGACAUAGAUAUUACGCCGUCUAGAGAGACUAGACGGACGCGAAGCUCACAGAGCGACAAUGAAGGGAAAACUGAGAUCCAAUUNACAAAUACUGAUGUCUUUACUUCGUCUGUCGUCGCCGAUGUCAAUAAAGAAGAAAAAGUGCUCAAAGAGAAUAAUAUCCGCGGUAGANGUGGUCGAAGUAGAACUCUAUCUCAAAGCGACGUCGAUGAAGAUAUUUUACCUGGCAAAAGAGCAAAAUUAGAAGUUAAAAGACGGUCAAAGGGACGAAGAAAAGUCCACGUGGAAUCAGACAACUCGCAGGUGAGAAUAACACAAUUUUUCAUGAAAAGAUCACCAAGACAAAAGCGUGGUAUCAAAUCACCGAAAGCUAAGUUCCUCAAUGGUUACAAGUCUCCGAAAUCUGCGAAAUCGACGGAAUCUGAAAGUUCCAAAUCUGACGAGGAGAAUUCAGAACACAGGGUAGAGCGUUUGUCAUCUUUGCGCUCGUUCAACCANUGUNGUGAUAACCUACCACCACAGUCGACGUGUCCAAAGUGUCAAAUCCAACAUGAUCAAAAAAGCAUGUCAAGAAGUCCCGACAGAAAAAACAAAGAACUGAGAGCCUGUAAUAUGCAGUCUCCAAAGUCGCGUAGCCGCCUUUUGUCAAGUUUGCGUUGUUCUCCCUCGCGUAAUUGCAGUAAUAGAAUGUCUCAGGUGNCGUCCGUCGUUUGACCAGACAUGUACAGUAGGNUUAAAGAUAACUGCGUAACUCUCCCUGUCGCAUGCACAUCGGAUUUGAAACACAUUGGAAUUUUUGUAUUUUGGUUGAAGAAGUUCCGCAAACCUAGAAAAAAAUACAGCCAUNUAACAACUUGUCAAAAUUUACUAGCGGUGUUUUUUAACCAUUAAAGUUUUUAUUUGCAUGACUAGAAUUUAUCCAAAGAGCUUAUAAUGCAACUCAAAAUGUUUUCCUUUAGAUACAAAAUGUUUCUCUAGAUACUAAAACGAUUUCAUCACAAUUUCUGUUUCUACUUCGCCUUGAUUUUAAAGGCUGGCUCUAAAGUUUGUGGUAUGCGACUGGGAAAGUUGCGCCUUGUAACUAAAAUGAAACUAAUUAUUCACGUAGAAGUAUACGUUAGUACACUAGUCUUUGACUAUGGAAGGCUUUGAUUUGAACAACUGACGGGGAAUCGUGAUGACAUUUUGUACUGCACUAGAAUCUAAUUGGCUGGUUUUAGUGACCCGAGGGAGGUGGGGGGUUCAAUUGACUGUUAGUGCAGCAUACAAGACGUCAUCCAUAGGGUAAAAGUUAUUUGGAGAUGUUUGAUAUCAUGAGGGAGCGGACGACGAAAAUCAGACUGUUUUUAUAUAGGCUUUUAUGGAGCACAUUUUACUGUAUCACAACCUGACGUUAGGGACGUCUAUUUUCAUAGCCAUUUUGUGCACAAUCGGUCAGCAAGUGUUUUUAAACCAUAAAAGUACUAUUAAACGUCCUAUUGUAUGCAUAUUUACCAGAUUCUANGAAAAGAAGGCGUAUUUAAAAUAUCUGGUUUGUAGUUGGGCUUUGUANUUAUCAAAAUUACAACUGACGCUUGUACCAUUGAAGUGUUCCGCUCUUUGAAAAGCGAUUCGGUCUAAGAUUUUAAGUGAAGGAAGUCUUACAAAGCAACACGAAUGAGUAGCGAGGCUACCAUCUCAUAGUUGUAGCCUUGUGAUAUAGCAGCCUUGCUCGUGGUGCUUGUAAGCAGGGGUUAUAAGAUAAUGCAGAGCGGAUAACAAAAUCGUACAAUGUUUCAUUGUACAUUAGGACUCGAUGCUACUUGUAGAACAGAUUUUCGUUGUAAAUUUUCUUUGGAAGAAAAGACACAUAGCUGAAUGAAGCUCUACUUGUGGCUUUGAAUCCUCAUGACUUAGGAGCAACGUUGGANGUUAACGUUUUACGAAUUUCGUUAUCUAUGUUUGCACUCGGUGGACUAGUCUUAGUUUAAAUUAAUACACACAGAAAUGAAAGACAUCAGAGAAGUUACUCGAAAAAGAAAGCUAAGUCCGAAAGGGAGCACGGGAAGGCAAUUUUUUGGCUUGUGGUAUGGUGUCCAUGGAAAACGAUCGACACUGCAAAUGUGCACGUUCUUAGAUAAUGGACUAUUCUCUUAAAAUCUCAUUACUGAAUAGUCAGUACGGCAGUAGCCUCGUUCCUAGGAUGGAAAUCAAUAGAAUAAUCGAUCAAUUUAUACAUAGAUUCGAGGCUUGUGUUGGAAUCUUGAGAAUGGUCAAUAUGAUCCCCACAUUUCAGUAUACCCAAAAUCCACUUCGGUCUUAGCUUCUUUGAGCCCACGUUUCUUAAUUUGGUCACUGUGUUUCGUUAUGGAUCGAAAGAUAUUGGGUGAAGGCCUAUCAAGGCUGAUUUCACAAAGCAAAUUAUGGCAACAGUAUCGUGUUUGUAGUAUAGCACACAAAUAUAUUGAUCUCUUAAAAGUUUUUAGCUUUUAGAUCAUGAGUGUAAUCUCGUCAAUAUUUUAGCAAAUUAAAGAUGGAGAAGGAGAAAUCUCUA